rnacentral:rRNA from 1 species
GAUCAUGGCUCAGGAUGAACGCUAGCUACAGGCUUAACACAUGCAAGUCGAGGGGCAGCAUUUUUAUAGCAAUAUAAAAGAUGGCGACCGGCGCACGGGUGAGUAACACGUAUCCAACCUGCCGAUAACUCGGGGAUAACCCUUCGAAAGAAGGCCUAAUACCCGAUGGCAUAUCCCUUCCGCCUGGUUGGGAUAUUAAAGAAAUUCGGUAUGAGAUGGGGAUGCGUUCCAUUAGUUUGUUGGCGGGGUAACGG